GCGGACUGGACUGAGAGCUGCCGGCUUCGGCCGCGGGUGGAAUAGCCCGGAGAACCAGGGAAUCGCGGCGCUUUUCGGCCUCCUGCAGCUGCGUUUCAAAGCAGAGCCGACCCUUGGUGGCAUUUUGGAAGGGAGCAAAUACAGUGAUCAAUCUUCUGUAUUUUUUUGUGUUUCUAAAGACAUGGUCACAGCUGCCUGAAGCAUGUCUUCUUCACUUAUGGCAUCACCUGUUGGGAAACAAAACACACUUUUCCUUAACAUUU